rnacentral:rRNA from 1 species
CACGAACCGGGCAAACGUUAUUCGGAAUUACUGGGCUUAAAGGGUGCGUAGGCGGCGCUGUAAGUCGGGUGUGAAAUCCCUCGGCCUAACCGAGGAAUUGCGCCCGAUACUGCAGUGCUCGAGGAAGAUAGAGGUGGGCGGAACUAGCAGUGGAGCGGUGAAAUGCGUUGAGAUUGCUUGGAACACCCGUGGCGAAAGCGGCCCACUGGGUCUUUUCUGACGCUGAUGCACGAAAGAUAGGGUAGCGAACGGG